GACGAACGCUGGCGGCGUGCUUAACACAUGCAAGUCGAACGGAAAGGCCCUGCUUUUGUGGGGUGCUCGAGUGGCGAACGGGUGAGUAACACGUGAGUAACCUGCCCUUGACUUUGGGAUAACUUCAGGAAACUGGGGCUAAUACCGGAUAGGAGCUCCUGCUGCAUGGUGGGGGUUGGAAAGUUUCGGCGGUUGGGGAUGGACUCGCGGCUUAUCAGCUUGUUGGUGGGGUAGUGGCUUACCAAGGCUUUGACGGGUAGCCGGCCUGAGAGGGUGACCGGCCACAUUGGGACUGAGAUACGGCCCAGACCCCUACGGGAGGCAGCAGUGGGGAAUAUUGCACAAUGGGCGGAAGCCUGAUGCAGCAACGCCGCGUGCGGGAUGACGGCCUUCGGGUUGUAAACCGCUUUCGCCUGUGACGAAGCGUGAGCGACGGUAAUGGGUAAAGAAGCACCGGCUAACUACGUG
rnacentral:rRNA from 1 species